rnacentral:rRNA from 1 species
GACGAACGCUGGCGGCGUGCUUAACACAUGCAAGUCGAACGGAAAGGCCCUGCUUUUGUGGGGUGCUCGAGUGGCGAACGGGUGAGUAACACGUGAGUAACCUGCCCUUGACUUUGGGAUAACUUCAGGAAACUGGGGCUAAUACCGGAUAGGAGCUCCUGCUGCAUGGUGGGGGUUGGAAAGUUUCGGCGGUUGGGGAUGGACUCGCGGCUUAUCAGCUUAUUGGUGGGGUAGUGGCUUACCAAGGCUUUGACGGGUAGCCGGCCUGAGAGGGUGACCGGCCACAUUGGGACUGAGAUACGGCCCAGACUCCUACGGGACGCAGCAGUGGGGAAUAUUGCACAAUGGGCGGAAGCCUGAUGCAGCAACGCCGCGUGCGGGAUGACGGCCUUCGGGUUGUAAACCGCUUUCGCCUGUGACGAAGCGUGAGUGACGGUAAUGGGUAAAGAAGCACCGGCUAACUACGUG